rnacentral:rRNA from 1 species
CUCAUUAGCAGCAGGAAUAUAAAGAAAUUUCGAUUCCCUAAGUAGCGGCGAGCGAACGGGGAACAGCCCAAACCAAAGUGCUUGCACUUUGGGGUUGUAGGACUGAACAUUUGAGUUACCAAAGAACUUGAUAGUCGAAGGAUUUGGGAAAAUCCGCCAUAGAUGGUGAUAGCCCAGUAGAUUAAAUCAAAUUCUCUCAGUUCAGGAUCCUGAGUACGGCGGAACACGUGAAAUUCCGUCGGAAUCCGGGAGGACCAUCUCCCAAGGCUAAAUACUACCUAGUGACCGAUAGUGAACCAGUACCGUGAGGGAAAGGUGAAAAGC